GAAAUAGUUAUUAGGAGUACUCAAUGACUUUGUCACCAAACAACUACCCCACAAUGUUACAUGGGGAUUGAGCUUGUUAUAUGCUAUGGAGCACAAAGCUGACCGUUCAUUGACUUCCACUCAAGGUGAGCUUGCACAUGCAUUGCGGUUUUUGGCAUCAGUUGUAUCUCAAAGCUUCUUGGCCUUUGGUGACAUCUUGGAGCUGCAUCGAAAGUUCAUCUAACUGUCUGGUGGUGUUAAUUGGAUUUUUGAACUUGAGGAACUUCUUGAUGCUGCACAAUCUGAUGAAAAUGUUGGUACUUCAUCAAAGUCCAAUGAGGAAUCUGAGGAUGUUAUCUCUUUUUCGGAGGUUGAUAUUAUUACGCCAACACAUAAUUUAUUAGCCAGAAAGUUGAAAUGCGAGAUAGUACCAGGGAAAAACCUUCUUCUUACCGGUUAGUGUUAUAGUCUGAUUAUUAUGGAUAAUGAUUAUAAAUAACUGUGAGGAUUAAA